UAAUACGAGAGCGACGAACGUUAUCCGGAAUUACUGGGCGUAAAGCGUCUGUAGGGGGAUAUUCAGGUCGGGUGUAAAAGGCUACGGCUCAACCGCAGCACAGCAUCCGAAACCGUUUAUCUUGAAGAUGGUAGGGGCAAGUGGAACUCCAGGAGUAGGGGUAAAAUCCGUAGAUACCUGGAAGAACACCAAUAGCGAAGGCAACUUGCUGGGCCAUUCUUGACCCUGAGAGACGAAAGCGUGGGGAGCAAACGGGAUUAGAUACCCCGGUAGUCCACGCCCUAAACGAUGGAUACUAGAUGUAUGCGGUCUCGACCCCGUAUGCGUCGCAGCUAACGCAAUAAGUAUCCCGCCUGGGGAGUACGGCCGCAAGGCUA
rnacentral:rRNA from 1 species